UUCUUCCAUCAAAAAUCAUUUAUU
rnacentral:snRNA from 1 species